CUUGUUGGUGGGGUGAUGGCCUACCAAGGCGACGACGGGUAGCCGGCCUGAGAGGGCGACCGGCCACACUGGGACUGAGACACGGCCCAGACUCCUACGGGAGGCAGCAGUGGGGAAUCUUGCGCAAUGGGCGAAAGCCUGACGCAGCGACGCCGCGUGAGGGAUGACGGCCUUCGGGUUGUAAACCUCUUUCAGCCCUGACGAAGCGAAAGUGACGGUAGGGGCAGAAGAAGCACCGGCCAACUACGUGCCAACAGCCGCGGUAAUACGUAGGGUGCAAGCGUUGUCCGGAAUUAUUGGGCGUAAAGAGCUCGUAGGUGGCCUGUCGCGUCGGCUGUGAAAACUCGGGGCUCAACUCCGAGCUUGCAGUCGAUACGGGCAGGCUAGAGUGCGGCAGGGGAGACUGGAAUUCCUGGUGUAGCGGUGAAAUGCGCAGAUAUCAGGAGGAACACCGGUGGCGAAGGCGGGUCUCUGGGCCGAUACUGACACUGAGGAGCGAAAGCGUGGGGAGCGAACAGGAUUAGAUACCCUGGUAGUCCACGCCGUAAACGUUGGGCGCUAGGUGUGGGAUCCCUUCCACGGGUUCCGUGCCGCAGCUAACGCAUUAAGCGCCCCGCCUGGGGAGUACGG
rnacentral:rRNA from 1 species